AGUAGUCGAGUCAUUAUUACCUGUACUCGCAAACUUCACCGCGAGGGAAAUACUUCACUGGUGUCGGUGGAAGAUGCGAUAGAUUGCGUUGCUGCACUGGUAGAGAAGCUGUGGAUUAAUGAAGACUUGAAGGCGUGAAGACUUGUUUCUACCUCCCCCUGAAUUAACGCGGCCAAUGAGGGCUCACAGUCAUGGGUCCUGUGGAUCUGGAUCUGUUUGGUGCUAUGGGUCCCGAGCACAGCCAGUAACAGCCUGAUCCAAGUGAUCCAGAUCAGCUAUGUUUCCAGCCACACAGGAACUCGACUUCCUCGGCUCCCUGAGUUCCCUGAAGAUGAAUAAGUGACGGGGAUAUUGGCUACGCCCUUAAUUGUGCAGACUCGGACUUGCAUGACCCAAGAGGACCUUGGAGUUGGGUUUCACAGCUCAUUGUGAAUCUGCUUUGGGGUGUGCAGAUUUGCGCUACAUUUCGCCCCUCUCGACUGUGGGUGAGGCUUAGGGUUAUCGCUCCACCGACAGGGGGAUCGGAGCAGACUAUACACAGGGCUAAGCUGGAUCUCAUUAGGACCAAGGUGGCAGUGAUCCCGUCAACAUCGCUUUGCCUCCUGCCAUAUGGGUCGCCUCCAAGGAUUUCCCUCUGCCGGGAGGAAGAGUAGGCCUGCUCCUAUUUGCUUUCUACUGAGAGACUUCCUCCCUCAAAGGCUUCUCAAACAAUGCAUCCAACACAGCUGGCUUUCAAUUUUAAGAAUUCUUAAGAUGUUGUUGGAAACAUGCUGGUCAUAUUUAAAUAGAUUUGCAUGGAAUGAAAGAAUUAAUAGAUUAAUGAAACCUUGGCGAGCAGACAGAGAAGGUCACUUAAAUAAUUUUGUUUCUGUUCACUCAAAAGAAAAAUUCUCUUCCUUAAAAAGACAUUCUGUGAUAACGUAAAAAGGGUCAUUGCACCAUCGAAAUACAAGAACGCAACUUAACAAUGUAGCUCUCACACCCUGGCUGCCAUAUCUUUUAAAUUCUAAAAAAAUCUAGUUUUUCCAGACCUAUUGUGACUCUUUUUGUUCUGUUGAUAUUAUGUGAUAUUAAUUUCAAUAUUGUUCACAUGGACCCUGAAAAUACUAACUAACUCCUUAUAGAAGGAAACUGGGAUUCAAAUGAAGAUCCAUGUCUACUGAAAAGUUACAAUUGUUUGUCUUACGGUGUUGUUAAAGGUUUGUUUACAUUAGCCAUGUUUGUAAAAACAGGGUAAAGGUGGCUUGUAUUUCAAAAUCUGAACUAUUCGCAUAUGCAAAAUGCUGUUUAUUUUUUUCAUCUAUGAGUGAACCAUUAUAUAUUAAAAAAAAAAAAUA